rnacentral:rRNA from 1 species
GACGAACGCUGGCGGCGUGCUUAACACAUGCAAGUCGAACGAAGUGGCGAACGGGUGAGUAAUACGUGGGUAACCUGCCCUCCUUUUUGGGAUAAGCCUUGGAAACGGGGUCUAAUACCGAAUAAAGGGGGAUGGGCUCGCGGCCUAUCAGCUUGUUGGUGGGGUGAUGGCCUACCAAGGCGGUGAUGGGUAGCCGUCCUGUGAGGGUGACCGGCAACAUUGGGAUGGAGGUAUGGCCUAGAUUCCUACGGGAGGCAGCAGUGGGGGAUAUUGCACAAGGGGCGAAAGCCUGACGCAGCGACGCCGCGUGGGGGAUGAAGGCUUGCGGGUUGUAAACCUCUUUCGUUAUCGAAAGGGUAGGUGGAGAAGAAGCGCCGGCUAACUACGUGCCAGCAGCGGCGGUAAUAC